GACAGGGGAAUUUGUCUUCUUUUGUGAUAAUUGGGCACGAUUUGGCCCAUUAAUGGCGUAGUGGAGAAUAAGGCCGAAUCAUACCGGAGUCAGGGAGUUGUCACGGUUGAUCGGACCCGUUGGGGUGGUUGAACCGCCGGCCGUGGUGGGCCUGGGGUUUGUAGAUGGCAGGCGCAUUGAUUGCUGAGUGAACCGGCGGUCAGGGAGAGCCAUACGCUUUGAUGGUUCAGUGAUCCGGAGAUCAUCUUGAGCCGUGUUCAUUUAAUGACUGAGUGCAUCGGAGGCUUGAGGG
rnacentral:lncRNA from 1 species